rnacentral:rRNA from 1 species
GACGAACGCUGGCGGCGUGCUUAACACAUGCAAGUCGAACGCUGAAGCUUGGUGCUUGCACUGGUGGAUGAGUGGCGAACGGGUGAGUAAUAAGUGAGUAACCUGCCCUUGACUCUGGGAUAAGCCUGGGAAACUGGGUCUAAUACUGGAUACGACAUGUCACCGCAUGGUGGUGUGUGGAAAGGGUUUUACUGGUUUUGGAUGGGCUCACGGCCUAUCAGCUUGUUGGUGGGGUAAUGGCUCACCAAGGCGACGACGGGUAGCCGGCCUGAGAGGGUGACCGGCCACACUGGGACUGAGACACGGCCCAGACUCCUACGGGAGGCAGCAGUGGGGAAUAUUGCACAAUGGGCGGAAGCCUGAUGCAGCGACGCCGCGUGAGGGAUGACGGCCUUCGGGUUGUAAACCUCUUUCAGCACGGAAGAAGCGAAAGUGACGGUACGUGCAGAAGAAGCGCCGGCUAACUACGUG